GAUGAACGCUAGCGGCAGGCCUAACACAUGCAAGUCGAGGGGUAGCAGGAUUAAGCUUGCUUAAUUGCUGACGACCGGCGCACGGGUGCGUAACGCGUAUGCAACCUACCUUAUACUGGGGUAUAGCCCGGAGAAAUUCGGAUUAAUCCCCCAUAGUACUAAUGAAUCGCAUGGUUUAUUAGUUAAAGCAUUGCGGUAUAAGAUGGGCAUGCGUCCUAUUAGCUAGAUGGUGAGGUAACGGCUCACCAUGGCUACGAUAGGUAGGGGGCCUGAGAGGGGGGUCCCCCACACUGGUACUGAGACAAGGACCAGACUCCUACGGGAGGCGGCAGUGAGGAAUAUUGGUCAAUGGGCGCAAGCCUGAACCAGCCAUGCCGCGUGCAGGAAGAAUGCCCUAUGGGUUGUAAACUGCUUUUAUUUGGGAAUAAACCUCUUUACGUGUAGAGAGCUGAAGGUACCAAAUGAAUAAGCACCGGCUAACUCCGUGCCAGCCGCCGCCGUAA
rnacentral:rRNA from 1 species